rnacentral:tRNA from 2 species
GGAGGGAUACCCAAGUGGCUGAAGGGGCGGGUUUGCUAAACCUGUAGGGUGGCUUUGCUGCCGCGAGAGUUCGAAUCUCUCUCUCUCCG